UCAAGAUGUGCGGCAGGUGAUGACUUCCUUGGGGGGAAAUUUGGACACAGACAUGCACGGAGGGAAGACGAUGUGAAGAGUCACAGGGAGAAGAAGGCCAUGUAGCUGGAGUGAAUUACAAGCCAAGGAAGGCCAAGGAUUGCUGCAAACACCAAAAGCCAAAAGAGGCAAGGAAGGAUUCUCCCCCACAGCCUCCAGACCGCACCUGGCCCUGUGGACACCUGCGCCUCGAAAUUCUAGUCUUCAUAACUGUGAGCCAAGUGAGGAUUUUCAACAGAAAGAGCUUCAGUGAUGGUUCGAAGCUGCAGAAAUAAUGUCGGGAAUGCGUUAUUGGAUGCAAAUGUUAGAGAAAUGUGAGGAGCCUAAAUAAUUCUUCCUGUUUACUUUGCAUAACUGAGCCUGUACUCCUAUUAGAAAGAGAGAGAGGUUUUCCUAUAGUAUUUUCUGUAGGAAAAAAAGAAUGCACGGGUUUUAUAUUUUGUAGUGGGAGACUCAGGUUAAAAUACUAACUUAAGUGUUUG
rnacentral:lncRNA from 1 species